rnacentral:lncRNA from 1 species
UUAUAGUCUACAGCAUGUGUAGUCAUAACUAUCGCAUUCGCACUCUAUGAGUUACUUAGCUUUGUCUAUGACUUGUAUAGAUAAAGCUAUUUGUAGAAACUUUACACAUAAUCAAUUUACUUUUACUUACCAAAAAAAGCAUAAAACAGGAAUGUGAUUAAUCUUUUCAGAGAUUGAAACGAGUAAAUGAGUCAUAUUUAAGUCAAUUUUUUUAAAAAAAUAAGUUAGUCACUUUUUUACAUCACGAUGGCAAAAAAACA